GCCAGGGUGGUGUAGUGGUUUGAGUAUUGGACUAUGACUCUGGAGACCAGGGUUCGAUUCCUGCUCGGUCA
rnacentral:tRNA from 1 species